AUCUGGGGACCCCAUGUCUGUACUGCGGACCUGGUGACCAGCUGCGGACCUGGUGACAUGCUGUCUCGAUACCAGCCCUGUGGAUAUGGUGGCCAGAUGAUGUAGUGGCGUGAUAGAUCGAUGCGUGCCCUGCUGACCUGGUGGUCAGCUGUUCUACCAGCUUGGUGUCUAGAUGCAUGCCCUGUUGAUCUGGUGGCCAGCUGAUCAAGCGCCCUGGUAUCUUAAUGCUCGCCCUGCUGACCGGGUGACCUGCUCUUCUAGCUGCGUGAUGACUUGUUGCGCGCAUUGUAGACCUGUUGGCCAGCUGCUGCUGUGCCCUUCUCAGGUGCUGAUGAAAAGAUCGCGCGUACGUUCAAGACAACAGGUGGCAAAAGUUUUUUGUUAUCACAAUUUGUUUAUCAAAAAGACAAGUUGGGCUAUUCUUGGUAGGCAUACGCAUGGUCAGCGUUUGUGUUAACUUCGUUCCUUUCGCGGUGCUUGAUUUCUGUCAUUUUUUUUGUGUUUAGCCAUUAUAUUAGCUGCAAUAACGGACGACGUAACCCGAAUCAAUAUCACGGGUUGCCUUCGCGUUGGCAGUCAUUUUGCCACUGGUGGUGCCUGCGGUGGCCCGAAAGAUUGAUAACCUCCUUUCCUGAAAUGCUUAAGCCUCUAACGUCCGAAUGUAAUCCACGGCGCUUUUUCGAAGACACUAUGAUAUAGCCGGAUCAGCGCUAGCGUCUCGUUUAUAUAUAAUAUCCCCAUGGCUUUUGGUUCAAACAACGCGGGCAUGGACAGCCGGGCCAUGUUCCUCUUCCUAGCAGACGAGGUGAGCACAAUACUUGCGACUGUUUCGAAACAAUUACGCUCAAUCAACCUUUGGUGUAGCAACCAAGCGAAGAGGCACUCACUCCUAGUUUGAAUUACCACUUUCUCUAUCGUACUCGCGAACUUGGAGUGUCUGUGAUUAGAUAAAUAUACUACAACUACCUGAUUACAACGAAGACGCAAAAUAAAGGAACGGACGAAUGAAGGCGACACGGGACAACCACGUAGGCGCCUACGUGGUUGUCCGGUGUCGCCUUCAUUCGUCCCUUGUUUUAUGUGGCGCCUUCGUUUUAAUCGUGUAUAACCAACUCGCCCACCAGCACGUGCUCAGUAUAGCUACCUGUUCAGUGCAGCACGUACCUGAAGUUGAUGUGUAACUGAAAUAAUCUGUUCGUCCCUAAUUCCGAAACGCAGUUCAAAACUUCCUGAUAGAGUAUUCAAUCAACACUGCAGGCAGGUUUCCAUUUCUGACAUUUUACCUUGUUUUUGAUUUUUAUCGUGUAGGCACCCUUGGGGAUCAAUGCUCAUUCAAUGCACAUGUCAAAUUUGAAGUGAAGUUUUUUAAAAUAUAUGUUAUACAGCUAACCGCGAUGCACCAAUUUGUUUAAUUUCAUCCUAUGCAACGAUUAAUUUCAUGAAAUGAUUAUGCACAACCUUCACCUCGCACUAUAUUCAGAUUUGUGCUCUGUACCAUUCAGAAGCUAUUCUGUAAUGCAAACGCCAAAUGAGUUGGAUGCACAUUGUGACACUUCUUCGUAGCGAUGUUACGAGGACGAAGGCGACGUGUGAUUGCGUGCAAAAGGAAGAAUACUGAUGACAGGUGUGGGCAGAUAUAACAUGGUUGUGCUUCGCCUUUCAUUCUUUUGUCUUUUUUUCUGAUGUUUGCACAUUGCGCAUGAUUGAUACACCGUUGAUUCUCUUCGCUCGGAAAACUUAUUGCAAUCUUUCCUCGGUGGUUGUGCUUCAUUUGGUGUGCAUAGCAUGUGUGUGUCAGAAAUAAUUUUAAUUUGCGUGUAAUGCUUUAAGUGCACUGUCUACAAGGUUACUUCUCGAUUAUUUUGUUUUUUGUUUUUUUUUGUUUUGUAUGCACAAUGCGCUUGAUUGUACCAUGUUAAACUUUAUGACAAUAUUGAUGUUCUUUGCAUGAAAAUCUGCUUAGACCACAUUUGUUUCUCUAAUCCUGGCCUGGCGGAUGUGCCUCGUUUUUUUCCCCACUCUUUUUCGUACGUCUGUGCGCAGAGCGAGCCUAUUUUCGAAAUGUCAAUUUUUUCUUUAAUACGUGACUAUCUCUUUUGUAAUGCCUUCUUGCUAUGCUCUCAACUGAGUUUGAAAAUAAAUACACCUGUCAUCGCCAUUGUUGCAUCGACAAGCACAAGUCGCCUUUGUCCUCUUGACUUCGCUGCGUAGAUGCUUGUCACUGUCUAACUUCCUGAUUUGGCGUUUGAAUUUCGGCAUAGCUUGCGAAUGGUGUAGUCUAUAAAUAAAAAAAAUGAACAACUUGACCUAUUGUCCCUUUUGGUGAAUAAACAUGCAAAUUGUAGUGGACUUCACACUACACAGGAUGAAAGUAAGCACAAUGUUAUGCAUCGCUGUUAGAGGUAGUUCAGUUAUUCAACCACUUCGCUUAAGCUUUGCUUGACAUAAACUUUAUUAUGCCCAUCGGAUCUGCACAAUUCCUUUUCCGCAUGUCCUGCACCAGGAGUUUCAGUGUUUAUUUGAGCCCUUUAGUACAUUCCAGGCUGUCCAACAGUGCGUAGAUGCACGAAAGAAAAUCGGACUACGAACAGUAUCUACAUUUUGCAAGUUUACCAGUUUCAUCUAUCGUGUUAUUUCUGUAAGUGACAUAUAUUGUGCGCCAUUCUGAGCAAAAACAAAUUAAACUAAGCGCACGUGUUUAAUCUCUGCUGUUCAUCUUGCGAUUUCAGUAGAGUAGGAUAACAUGUUUCUAAUGACUUGCUCCUACAGUGAGUGAACCCAAGCAAGAAUAAUCCCAAUUGGACCGCCGAAUGCAUAAAAUAUAGGAAUAAAGCACGAGUCCAGGUGUCUUUCACCUCUUGCGCCAAUGAAAAAAAUUUCGUCGUACACAUUUGAGUAGAUAAGACGACGCACUACAGUUAUCAUGACGUCAAGUAACACUGGGCUGUAUUAUACUCCAAAUAUUUUGACUUUUCUACCAAGGUUUUACCAUUUUAACGCCGUGGAAACGUUGCCCCUUAGGCUCAUUCAUAAUAUAAAGCACAUUUACUGGGAGUGUUAAAGGAAUGAAGGCGAAGCACGGCACACUCUUCCGACAUAUUUUUUGAAGAAAAGUAUAAAUGUAAUCCUGUGUCAUCUAUCCCGAGAAGCCAUAGCUCAUGCAAUAGCGCAACAGAUUGCAAGCUCACGCAGCACUAAACCAACCGGCGUUUCUCCUUUAUGUGUACAUUUCGUUGUUGGUUGCUGGCCAAACCGACCACGUAGCUUAAUUUUGUUGCCCAUUGCACCUCAUAGCAUCUCGCGAAAAGUGACGUUAAAGUGAAUCACUAAAUAUAGGAAGGUGAAUUUGAGAAAAAAAUAUGAUCGUCAGCCUAUUUAUGUCCUCUGACAGCGAUUUCCAAUAAUCCUCGUCUUGCGCUAGCUUAUUCCAUUGUACGCCUGCAAACCUCUUCAUUUUAUCCCACCGCCUAAUUUCCUGCCGUCCUCGACCGGCACCCAUUUUGACUCUAACACCCAGUAUGUGCCCUAUGCAUUACAUGACCUCCCAAGCUCCAUCUUUUCGUUAUCGAAGACCUGACGUCUUGCGUCAUAAAUUGUUCAUUGCAUAUCGCUCUGUCAAGGCGAUUGCCUAUGAAACGAUUUCACGCAGACUAAACUCACGUACGCCAAUUCCUCUUGAUAUUCGUAGCAAUUAAGUGUGGACAAGACGCUGCACACGUGUAUUUCUUCAAUGGUAAUCAAAACUAAUGAAACCCAAAUCUAUAACUUGCGCGGCCACAAUUAUCUUGCCUGACUAAUUUUAUUGCUACCAAUAUUUGCGAACUUGCUGAACUGGAACUUAUCCAGGGAAGAAGCCUAUGAAGAACACGGUACGAAAGAAAUAGCAUACGUGCACUGCCUUACAAUUAAAGAUUCAACGGAAUACAGUGGGAAGGCAUCUGCGUCGUUCAUAUAAUGUAUGUGGCACAGCUGUCCAGUGAACGUUGUUAUUAGAAAACGAUAACUGUCACGUGUGCGCUGCUUAAACGGCUACAUUUCCCUCCAGAAUCUCAGCAGUGAAAUGCGAUUUUUGUGCGUACUUUAUAGUCGUAUAAUCUCGUAUAAAGAUUGGUCCGUAUCUACCCACUACGGCGUCCAAUAUAAUCCCCGAGUUGCCUUGGAAUGUAUUAUUGUGACAUGAAAAGGAAACGCACCAGGGUUCUCCAGGCUUCUUCCUGAUCGACGGUUACUCAAGCUCAUUCGGCGUAAAUGACACCCAUGCUUGCUAUUGGCCAUUGAUCCAGUACUUCUACCAAAAUUUAACGUGGAAAUAAUCUACGCAGAAACUAUUUACACGGUAUAUUUACAAAAAUCACAAGCACUGGCGAAGCUGGAAGCCAGCUCACUUGAUGACUGGGCACGUAGUCUUCUUUCAGAAGCUGCUCUCUUCGACAAUCACGUCAGAAUAUGAAAUGAAGUCGCACAUUUCCAUACGAGAAAUAAAAAAUCAAGCGUACCUUAUUGUGGUGACUGUGGACCCAGAGUCGCUUUCAGCUAAUGACUCAGUUGUUAUUAAGUCCACCUACUCAAUACUGACAGUAUUCUAAAAGGCAACGGUACAAAGCAAAGCAAUAACAUGAGAAUAUUACAGUUAAGUCCACUCUUGGGUGUUGCGAUUGUACUUUCUAAUUAUUGCUGUUCACAUUUGAUGUUAUGGUAUGUGCCCCUCAUCAGUGGACCUCUUUUAGAAAAACUUUAUUAUUAUUAUUAUUUGUUUUGAACACAUAUAUGCAAUUAACAGGAAAGGGAAAGCGAGGAGCAAGCUGGCAAGUGUCACAGGAAAGGUCACAACGCCUGCCUACUCUUCAGUAGGGAGAAGACAGCAACACAGAAAUGGAAGGAGGGGAGGAAAGAGGAAAGGAAGAGCAACAGGACAAAUCUAAACAAUAAAGUAGAACACAGUACAGUUCACACAUGGUAGGGCUGGUCACUGAAGAUCACGCUACUGCAGAAUGUUGAAUAAAAUAGUUUCGACGCUACAAACGUGAACCUUAGUUAACUCUAGAAAACUGAGUAGAGCGCGAUGAGCGUCGCUGGUUAUGUGGAAUAACCUGGUUAUGUGGAAUAACCCACCGUCGGGGCGUAGUGGCUUUGACGUAGAGCUAAGGCCGAAGGCGCUUAAUCAAAUCAGCGCCCCGGCUACUGCAUUUCGAGGGGCAGGGGCAGGGGGCAAUGCGAAAACGCCGGUGUACCGUGCAUUGGGUGCACGUAUAAGAAACCGAGGUGCUCAAGAUUAAUCCGGAUUUCCCCACUAAGGCGUGCCUCAUAAUCCAAUCGUGCUUUUGGCGCGUAAAAGCCCAUACUUGAAUUAUAUUUAUGUGCCGCCGUGUAUGGGCUGAAUUUCAGUCAAUAUCCUUGAAGCCAACAUGGGUAAUUGGGUAGGUGCUGCUGGGUAUGCGCCGCAAUUCAAUGAACCUUUCUUUACUCGACCUUGACUCACUGGACUGUUCUGGUGGCCCUGUGUCUUGCCGCAGCCUGCCCCGAGAACCUGGUGGUCAGGCCUUCUGGCAACGGAUGUUGCCUGGCGGCCCAGCUUGCGGAUCCGGUGGUCAGCUGUUCUAGAGACCUGUUAUCUCGGAGUCCACCCUGCUUGCCUGGCGUGCAGCGGUUCUCGCUGCGCGCCCUGUCGACCUCGUGGCCAUCGGUUCUCGUCGCGUCUUCGGCCGCUCAUCAGAAGAUCGCGUGUGCGUUAACGAAUCUCAGUUUAUUCCUUUGCGACGAGAUCACGGGCACCGGCGGUGGUGUCGAGAAAUCUCCCCCCACGCGGACGAUGCGCAGCAAUUGCUUCUGCACGGUCUGUCGCGCAACCGCUGACUCAGGCUGCGGCUGCCCAGCUCGGACAUCAGGUCACGAACCUGCGCCAUAGCGACCACCUGGACCGUCACGACGUGCGAGGGUUGCUCACGACGACGACUCUGCGAUAGUCUACACGGCUGUAUCCUGCAGACGGCGUUCUACCUGGUGUCAUCAUGGUGAAGAUCUCAGAGGUGGCUGGGUCAAUGGUCAUGACGAUGGGCCUCCUGGUGGCCCGUCGGACAUAGGCGUUGAGGAAGAAGCAGUCGAAGAUACAAACAAUUUCCAGAGCAGCGGGCUCACCGGACGUGGCGAUGAUGGCGAGGAUCUUCCCACCACGGACUUCGGACGACAAUCCUUCGAUUGGAAGCAACUUGCUGCGAGUCCGCCGAACAGCCGCUGACCCAGACUGGAGAGGUUCAGCUCAAACAUCAGGUCUCGAACCUGCGUCCGAGCAGCCACAUUCAACGUCAUGGCGACGUGGCCAUACGCACCGUUGCUGAAAAUUACGACAAACGCGUGGUUACGCACACACAAAAAUAAAGUCUGAAAACACCGCAGGCCAAAAGGCCAGAUGACGAUGGCGACGUGUAACGCCCAUGCCGUGCAAGACAACUCACGCUUCACGUACCAGGAGUCGAUCUAACUACAAGUGUUUACG